rnacentral:SRP_RNA from 1 species
GGAGGUUGGCGACGGACGAGUUCCUCGCUAACCCGGUCAGGUCUGGAAGGAAGCAGCCGUAACGAGUCUUUCUCGGGUCGUCAGUCCAGCCUCCCAC